UUCAAUUGGAGGGUGGACUGUGUAGCUGCUUUCUCUCACACCUGUGAGUGAUCAGGUCAUCAGGGAGCUUAAAGGAGGAGGCUGUGGAUCAGUCAAUGCCUGAGUGUCAACCUUAGUGGUGCCUCUUGAAAACCUGACUUCUGUUCCCUAGGCCGUCUUCCUACACGACCAAGCUCAGGUUAAUCUUUCUGAAAUUCCAUGCCUCUGGAUCUUAGUCACACUCCAAGCUUCCAAGCCCAUGCCGAAACCCCGUCCGCCCUCCAAUGAACCAAACCUCCGCCAACAAGCAAAACAAACCGCCUCCUGGACCUGACACCUUCCCGGACCAAAACUCUGCAUUCAACUAAGACGGGGAAGAUCCGGUUCCUGAAAGUUCCUGCCAUAUCCUAUUAUUGUUUCUGUACAAAUACAAUCGUUAAACUAUCAGCUGUCUUAAGUUCCUGCAUGUGGGUCAAAAGAGUCGC